GAUUUUAAUUUCCAUUUUAUUUCUUUUAUUCCAUUUUAUUUCUAAAAUUCAUAUCUCUCUCAUUAUUGGUCCAAAAUUUAUGAGACCAAUUUCAUUAUUCUCCUUUUAAUUUCUACUUUCUAAAAAUGAUUUUUAAUAUUUUUUAUUUUAUCAUUUGAUAUUUUUUAGUAAUUUUCUCUUUUCUGGUUAUUUUUAAUUCAUUCAAAAUAGUUUUUGAUACUCAAAAAAUACAAAAAUAUUUUUCCA
rnacentral:lncRNA from 1 species